rnacentral:rRNA from 1 species
ACGCUGGCGGCGUGCUAACACUGCAGUCUGAACGAAGCUCGAUUCUUUGAGAUUUCGGUCAAAAAGAAAAGAUGACUUAGUGGCGGACGGGUGAGUAAUGCGUGAGCAACCUGCCUCGGAGAGGGGGACAACAGCUGGAAACGGCUGCUAAUACCGCAUAAUGUAUUCGGAGGGCAUCCUCUGAAUAUCAAAGAUUUAUCGCUCUGAGAUGGGCUCACGUCUGAUUAGUUAGUUGGUGAGGUAACGGCUCACCAAGACUGCGAUCAGUAGCCGGACUGAGAGGUUGAACGGCACAUUGGGACUGAGAUACGGCCCAGACUCCUACGGGAGGCAGCAGUGGGGAAUCAUUGGGCAAUGGGCGCAAGCCUGACCCAGCAACGCCGCGUGAAGGAAGAAGGCUUUCGGGUUGUAAACUUCUAUAUUAUGAGAGGACGAAGAAUGUGAUGGUACCUCAUGAAUAAGCCACGGACUAACUACGUGCCAGCAGCCGCGGUAAUACGUAGGUGGCGAGCGUUAUCCGGAUUUACUGGGUGUAAAGGGCGCGUAGGCGGGGAAGCAAGUCAGAUGUGAAAUCCAUGGGCUCAACCCAUGAACUGCAUUUGAAACUGUUUCUCUUGAGUGCCGGAGAGGUAGACGGAAUUCCUAGUGUAGCGGUGAAAUGCGUAGAUAUUAGGAGGAACACCAGUGGCGAAGGCGGUCUACUGGACGGUAACUGACGCUGAGGCGCGAAAGCGUGGGGAGCAAACAGGAUUAGAUACCCUGGUAGUCCACGCUGUAAACGAUGAAUACUAGGUGUGGGGGGACUGACCCCUUCCGUGCCGCAGUUAACACAAUAAGUAUUCCACCUGGGGAGUACGACCGCAAGGUUGAAACUCAAAGGAAUUGACGGGGGCCCGCACAAGCAGUGGAUUAUGUGGUUUAAUUCGAAGCAACGCGAAGAACCUUACCAGGGCUUGACAUCCAACUAACGAAGGAGAGAUACAUUAGGUGCCCUUUCGGGAAAGU